ensembl:lincRNA 1700022N22Rik RIKEN cDNA 1700022N22 gene
ACAGGGCAGAGCGACGCGGCUCAAGGCACGCCGGGAAUUGUAGUCCAUGAAUGGUCCUACCCUCUACUCUUUCCCUGAGAUUUCGCCCUCCCAACGUGACCGGAGACGCUCAGUUCACGGAUGCAGUUGGUACUCCCAAGCUAGUUUGAUGUGGCGCGCUGGAUCCGGGAAGAGAACGGACUACAGCUCCCAGGAUCCCCUUAAGAUGGGCUUUGGGCUCCGAUAACUGACCAAGACCAGGAAGAUAAAAACAAUGUCAGAGGCCAACUGGAGACAGGAUUUGCUUUGGGCAAAGCGUUCCACUUGCUGAAGGUUCAAGAGUUGGCAAGUCCUGUGGCCACUCCCUCCACACCCCCACCAUCAGAAGUAUAGUGAGGAGUCUGCUAGAGGAUGCCAACUUCUGGGAUUAUCCUCUAGGCAUAGUGGUGGGCCCAUACAGAAAAUUCUUGGACAGCUUUUCCUGGAAUGUUUCUACUAACAACCCAUCUCAAACAUGAGAUCCCUUUACAGCAGAUCCCAAAUGCAGAGCUGUCUGCCUGGGGCUCAGUUCCCUCAGAAUCUUCCACUGGGGGUUGAAUGGACAACGCUUACCUGGGAGAUACACCGAGGAGCUGCCAGGCUUUGGUGCGCUGUGCUCCUGGUUUAUUUCUAGCCUUUCCUAGGCAGAGGCGCCUUUUUGGUGUCAAUUAAAUUCCCAUGGCUAGAACCU